AUUGAACGCUGGCGGCACGCCUAACACAUGCAAGUCGAGCGGCAGCGCGAUCAGUAGCAAUACUGAUUGGCGGCGAGCGGCGGACGGGUGAGUAACACGUAGGAACCUGCCCAGAAGUGGGGGAUAACUAAUGGAAACGUUAGCUAAUACCGCAUACAUUCGGGAGAAGAAAGCUGCAGCAAUGUGGCGCUUUUGGAGGGGCCUGCGUACGAUUAGCUAGUUGGUGAGGUAAUGGCUCACCAAAGCGAUGAUCGUUAACUGGUCUGAGAGGACGACCAGUCACACUGGGACUGAGACACGGCCCAGACUCCGACGGGAGGCAGCAGUGGGGAAUCUUGGACAAUGGGGGAAACCCUGAUCCAGCGAUGCCGCGUGAGUGAAGAAGGCCCUCGGGUCGUAAAGCUCUUUGGGCUGGGAAGAAGGAUGGUUGAGGAAAUGCUUCCAUUUCGACGGUACCAGCAGAAUAAGCACCGG
rnacentral:rRNA from 1 species